rnacentral:rRNA from 1 species
GAUGAACGCUGGCGGCGUGCCUAAUACAUGCAAGUCGAGCGAACGGACGAGAAGCUUGCUUUUCUGAUGUUAGCGGCGGACGGGUGAGUAACACGUGGAUAACCUACCUAUAAGACUGGGAUAACUUCGGGAAACCGGAGCUAAUACCGGAUAAUAUUUUGAACCGCAUGGUUCAAAAGUGAAAGACGGUCUUGCUGUCACUUAUAGAUGGAUCCGCGCUGCAUUAGCUAGUUGGUAAGGUAACGGCUUACCAAGGCAACGAUGCAUAGCCGACCUGAGAGGGUGGUCGGCCACACUGGAACUGAGACACGGUCCAGACUCCUACGGGAGGCAGCAGUAGGGAAUCUUCCGCAAUGGGCGAAAGCCUGACGGUGCAACGCCGCGUGAGUGAUGAAGGUCUUCGGAUCGUAAAACUCUGUUAUUAGGGAAGAACAUAUGUGUAAGUAACUGUGCACAUCUUGACGGUACCUAAUCAGAAAGCCACGGCUAACUACGUG